AAUCUGUGACCAGCCCGGCUCCAACAGCGGCAAAAAUAUAUUGAACAUCAAUGCCCGGCCUCCCACAAGAAAGACGGCUCCCUCGAAAUGCAAAAUAUGGAUUGCGGUUGAAACGCUCGUAGUUUGACUUCUGCUCCGGACCGGCGGUCCGCCUUAGCGGCGGCUACUGCCGGGUUCCGAGCUGUGUCCCCGCCGGCGCACAUGGGGUUUUUAUGCCCUUAACCGGGUGUCCCCUUGUGGCCGGCACGUUUACUUUGAAAAAAUUAGAGUGCUCAGAGCAGGCUGGUUUUUGCUUACAGCCCGAAUGGUCGUGCAUGGAAUGAUGGAACAGGACCUCGGUUCUAUUUUGUCGGUUUUUCGGAACCCGAGGUAAUGAUUAAUAGAAGCAGACGGGGGCAUUCGUACUGCGACGCUAGAGGUGAAAUUCUUAGACCGUCGCAUGACGACCUACUGCGAAAGCAUCUGCCAAGGAUGUUUUCAUUGAUCAAGAACGAAAGUUAGAGGUUCGAAGGCGAUCAGAUACCGCCCUAGUUCUAACCUUAAACGAUGCUGACUAGCGAUCCGCCGCAGUUAUUCCCAUGACCCGGCGGGUAGCUUCCGGGAAACCAAAGUCUUUGAGUUCCGGGGGAAGUAUGGUUGCAAAGCUGAAACUUAAAGGAAUUGACGGAAGGGCACCACCAGGAGUGGAGCCUGCGGCUCAAUUUGACCCAACACGGGGAAACUCACCAGGCCAGGACACCGGAAGGAUUGACAGAAUGAAGGCUCUUUCUCGAUUCGGUGGGUGGUGGUGCAUGGCCGUUCUUAGUUGGUGGAGUGAUCUGUCUGGUUAAUUCCGAUAACGAACGAGACUCUAGCCUGCUAAAUAGUCGACGGAUCUCAACCCCGUUGCCCCCGUUGUCGUUCGCGGCGAUGCGGGGCGCGGGUUCCCCGAAACCCGGUCGUCGUGCGGGCCUCCACCGUCGGUCGGUUAGCGCCGCCGGCGGCGCGCCCCGCGGCGCCGGAAACUGGCGUCCGCUUCGCAGUCUUCUUCUUAGAGGGAUAAGCGGCAGCAAAAAAUAUACUAGCCGCACGAGAGUUUGAGCCAUAACAGGUCUGUGAUGCCCUUAGAUGUUCUGGGCCGCACGCGCGCUACAAUGGAGAGUUCAGCGAGCUGUCCCUGCUCCGAGAGGAGCGGGUAACCUCGUGAAAGCUGUCCUUAAAGGGGAUUGGGGCUUGCAAAUGUUCCCCAUGAACGAGGAAUUCCCAGUAGGCGCAAUUCACCAGAUUGCGCCGAUUUAGUCCCUGCCCUUUGUACACACCGCCCGUCGCUACUACCGAUUGAAUGGUCUAGUGAGGGCACCGGACUGGCGCCCUUGGAGCCGCUACCGCCUCGGCGGGCAGCGCCCUCGGGUCGACGGAAAGGUGUCCAAGCUGGGUCAUUUAGAGGAAGUAAAAGUCGUAACAAGGUUUCCGUAGGUGAACCUGCGGAAG
rnacentral:rRNA from 1 species